AGGCGCGAAAACUCUACAAUGCAGGCAACUGCGAUAGGGGAACAUCGAGUGAUACUCAUCUUGGGUGUCUGUCCUCCCGUCUAAAAAACGGGAGUUAGCAAGGGCCGGGCAAGACCGGUGCCAGCCGCCGCGGUAAUACCGGCGGCUCGAGUGGUGGCCGAUAUUAUUGAGUCUAAAGGGUCCGUAGCCGGCUUUGCAAGUCUUUUGGGAAAUCCAGCGGCUUAACCGUUGGUCGUCCGGGAGAUACUACAUUGCUUGGGACUGGGAGAGGUAGGAGGUACUCAGGGGGUAGGAGUGAAAUCCUGUAAUCCUUUGGGGACCACCGGUGGCGAAGGCGUCCUACCAGAACAGGUCCGACGGUGAGGGACGAAAGCUAGGGGCACGAACCGGAUUAGAUACCCGGGUAGUCCUAGCCGUAAACGAUGCUCGCUAGGUGUCACAACAAUCGUGAAUUGUUGUGGUGCCGUAGGGAAGCCGUGAAGCGAGCCACUUGGGAAGUACGACCGCAAGGUUGAAACUUAAAGGAAUUGGCGGGGGAGCAC
rnacentral:rRNA from 1 species